UUAAUAUUAGUAUAUUUAAUAUUAUAUAUUUAAGGAUAAAAAAAUAUUGAAUAUUUAAAAAAUUAUUUUUUAAAAUAUCUUAAAAAAACUUUAAAAUGAAUAAUAUAUAAAAGUAAUAAAGUAUUGAAAAUAUUCUAAAUUUUUAGAAAAAUGAGAAUGUCUAAUAAAAUUUCAAUAAAAUGUACUAUUUACAAUAAUAAAAUAUUUAUUUAUUAUUAUUAGUAUUAAAAUCAUAAA
rnacentral:tRNA from 1 species